AAAAAAAAAAUUCUGAAAGAAAGAAAACAAAGAACAAAAUACCCCAGAAUUCCUAAUAGAACUUUUCACCCGAACCUAAAAUGGUGAGCGAGAGUCAUCAUCAGGCCCUGGCAGCCCCGCCAGUCACCACCGUUGUGACCGUUCUGCCACAUAAUGCCACAGAGCCAGCCAGUCCUGGAGAAGGAAAGGAAGAUGCCUCUCUAAGCUGAAGGAGAAGUUUAUGAAUGAGUUGCAUAAAAUUCCAUUGCCACCAUGGGCCUUAAUUGCCAUAGCCAUAGUCACGGUCCUUUUAGUCCUGACCUGCUGCUUUUGUAUUUGUAAGAAAUGUUUGCUCAAAAAGAAGAAGAAGAAGAGGAGAAAGGAAAAGGAAGGGAAGAAUACCAUUAACAUGAAAGAUGCGAAAGACUUAGGGAAGACCACGAAAGAUCAGACCCUUAAGUAUGAUGCUGCUGAAACUGCAUUGACUGAUGGGGAAGAAAAAGAAGAACCCAAAGAAGAGGAGAAACUGGGAAAACUCCAGUACUCACUGGAUUAUGAUUUCCAGAAUAACCAGCUGCUCGUAGGAAUCAUCCAGGCUGCUGAACUGCCUGCCUUAGACAUGGGGGGCACAUCUGAUCCUUAUGUGAAAGUUUCUGCUGCCUGAUAAAAAGAAGAAAUUUAGACAAAAGUCCACCAAAAACCCCUUAAUCCUGUCUUCAAUGAGCUAUUUACUUUCAAGGUGCCGUACUCGGAAUUAGGUGGCAAAACUCUGACGAUGGCCGUGUAUGAUUUUGAUAGUUUCUCCAAGCAUGUCAUCAUUGGAGAAUUUAAAGUCCCCAUGAACACAAUGGAUUUUGGCCAUGUAACUGAGGAAUGGCAUGAUCUGCAAAGUGCUGAGAAGGAAGAGCUUAGAAAAUUGUUAGCAUUUCUGAUAUCACAAGCUGUAUUCACUAGUUACUCAUGGAAUAGCCCAUUGAGAGGCGCUCUUUACAAAGGGUGA